UACCGUGCGAUAGCGGCGGCGCGGCCAGCGGAGCCGGGAGGCGGGUUAGCAGUGGCCUUGUGAGCGUGAGGAGCUGCCGCCACCGCCUGCUCCUCGUCGUCCUCGUCCUCCGCGGCCCCGGCGACGUGGGCCGCGCACGGCCCUGGAAGAGACGUCGCCUCCCCUUCAUCCACCUCUCUCUCACCGCGCCGCUCCCGCCUCCUCGUCCUGUGCUGCGGGCUCAGGCGGAACCCGGAACGGUCGUCCUCUUCCCCCGCCCGCCGCCGCCUCCUCCUUCUCCUCCUUCUCGGCUUCCUCCUCAGCCCCGGGCCGGAGCGGGGUGUUGGCGGCGGCCGGUUCGGGCGGCGACUCGCGCUUCUCUGGGCGGCGGCGCUUGGCCAUGUCGUGUCGGGGAAGGUAAUGAGCCGCAGAGCCCCGGGGUCUCGGCUGAGCGGCGGCGGCGGCACCAACGGCACCAACUAUUCGCGGAGCUGGAAUGACUGGCAACCCAGAUUGACUUGAUGCACAACAUCACAAAGGCGAUUUUUGAGG
rnacentral:lncRNA from 1 species